GGGGAAUAUUGCACAAUGGGCGAAAGCCUGAUGCAGCAACGCCGCGUGAGUGAUGAAGGUCUUCGGAUUGUAAAGCUCUGUCUUUGGGACGAUAAUGACGGUACCAAAGGAGGAAGCCACGGCUAACUACGUGCCAGCAGCCGCGGUAAUACGUAGGUGGCGAGCGUUGUCCGGAUUUACUGGGCGUAAAGGGUGCGUAGGCGGAUGUUCAAGUGAGAUGUGAAAUACCCGGGCUUAACUUGGGUGCUGCAUUUCAAACUGGAUAUCUAGAGUGCAGGAGAGGAGAAUGGAAUUCCUAGUGUAGCGGUGAAAUGCGUAGAGAUUAGGAAGAACACCAGUGGCGAAGGCGAUUCUCUGGACUGUAACUGACGCUGAGGCACGAAAGCGUGGGUAG
rnacentral:rRNA from 1 species